UUGCAGAAAGCUAAGUAUCAACCAUGCCCGAAUAAUGAGCGGAUGCUUUGCAGAUUUUGUCUUCUGUAGACUGAAUACUGCUAGUGACAAUAUUACCCAGGAGAGCACCUGUAUGCCUUCACCCAGAACAAAAGGAGUUGUGGUCUUCAACCUCUGCCUGCACCAUCUGAUUCUCUUGAACAGAUACUGAGCCACGAUGCUCGUGAUAAAUACAAGUUGUAUCAAUACAAAAGUGCUAGUCCAGAAACAAGGGGAAUAUACUUCUGGCCAUUGUCGCAGAAUCCAUUGGUUUGCAGGCCCAGAAAAGCAAUACCAAAGGAGCGGGGGCUGAGGAAAGCCAUGCAGUGCAAUCGGACUCGAGGAGAGGAGGAGAAUCGGACGCAUGGAUGGAUGAACCCGCCGUGUGCAUGCAGGCGGGAUGGGGAAUGGA